rnacentral:rRNA from 1 species
AGCUAGUUGGUGAGGUAACGGCUCACCAAGGCGACGAUGGGUAGCUGGUCUGAGAGGAUGAUCAGCCACACUGGGACUGAGAUACGGCCCAGACUCCUACGGGAGGCAGCAGUGGGGAAUAUUGCGCAAUGCCCGCAAGGGUGACGCAGCGACGCCGCGUGAGGGAUGAAGCUCUACGGAGUGUAAACCUCUUUCGCAGGGGAAGAAAGCGCAGCAUUCGCAAGGGUGUUGUGUUGACGGUACCCUGAGAAGCAGCCCCGGCUAACUACGUGCCAGCAGCCGCGGUAAUACGUAGGGGGCAAGCGUUGUCCGGAAUCACUGGGUGUAAAGGGCGUGUAGGCGGAUACGCAAGUCGGAUGUGAAAUAUUCCGGCUUAACCGGGAGGGGUCAUCCAAAACUGCGUAUCUUGAGUCCAGCAGGGGGUGGUGGAAUUCCUGGUGUAGCGGUGAAAUGCGUAGAUAUCACGAAGAACACGGAGGCGAAGGGCCACCUGGGCUGGAACUGACGCUGANGCGCGAANGCGUGGGGAGCAAACAGGAUUAGAUACCCUGGUAGUCCACGCUGUAAACGAUGGGCACUAGGUGCUGGCAUGGUGAAUGUCGGUGCCGCAGCUAACGCAUUAAGUGCCCCACCUGGGGAGUACGCUCGCAAGGGUGAAACUCAAAGGAAUUGACGGGGGCCCGCACAAGCGGUGGAGCAUGUGGUUUAAUUCGAUGCAACGCGAAGAACCUUACCGGGGCUUGAACUGUGGGUUAGCCUGCCUGAGAGGGUUAGGUGGCCUGGCUUGCCAGGCGUCCCACAGAGGUGCUGCAUGGCUGUCGUCAGCUCGUGUCGUGAGAUGUUGGGUUAAGUCCCGCAACGAGCGCAACCCUUGCCCUUAGUUGCUCGGCCGACAGGUCAGCACUCUAAGGGGACUGCCGGCGAUAAGCUGGAGGAAGGUGGGGAUGACGUCAAGUCCUCAUGGCCCUUACGUCCCGGGCUACACACGUGCUACAAUGGGCGGCACAGCGGGCGGCGACACCGCGAGGUGAAGCAAAUCCCUGAAAACCGCCCUCAGUACGGAUUGCAGUCUGCAACUCGACUGCAUGAAGUCGGAAUCGCUAGUAAUCGCGGAUCAGCAACGCCGCGGUGAAUACGUUCCCGGGCCUUGUACACACCGCCCGUCA